GGUUCCCUCCGGGUGGGAUCCCCGCGGGUGAUUUCCCCCCGCAGGGAUGAACAAGGGGGCGGUGCUGGCCGGGGUCAUCGGCGCGCGGAAGCCGCACUACGACAUCUGGGGCAACACCGUCAACGUGGCCAGCAGGAUGGAGUCCACCGGAGUCAUGGGCAACAUCCAGGUGGUGGAGGACACGCAGCUCAUCCUCAAGGAAUUCGGGUUCCGCUUCGUGCGCCGCGGGGCCGUUUACGUCAAGGGCAAGGGGGACCUGCUCACCUUUUUCCUCAAGGGACGGGAAAAGACGGGAUAUUCCGACAGUGGAUCCUCCGUGCCCCUGCCCCACCAGGUCCUGGACAAUUCCUGACCGGGAAAAACCCGGAAAAAACGGGAUAUUCCUCCUCCGUGCCCCUGCCCCACCAGGUCCUGGACAAUUCCUGACCGUCCCAAACCGGGAAAACCCGCCCCGUCAUCCCCCCCAAACACACACAAAUAAAUCGGGAAUGUCCGUCCCGCCGGGAUCCCACAGCAAACUCCACCCCCUCCAUCCCAUCCCAAGCUCGGCACGGCCCUUCCCGAGCCGCCUUUUUGUUUUUUUUCCCGGGAAUGCCGGGAGAUGCACGCGCUCAGGGAUGGGCGGGAAGGCUCCGCGGCUCCUCCUCCCGUGGGAUUGGAUUGGAAGUGGGAAUUCCCGCCCCGCUUUCCAUCGGGAAUGCACCCGGGAUUUGCUGUCCCUUCGUGCUCCCCCCUUGGAUUGGGGAAUUCGGGAAUCCGGGAGAGACGCUGGGGGUGUUUUCCAGAGGGAAAUCCACGGGGUGGUUUGAGUGUUCCCGGCGUUCCCAUCCCGGGAAUUGCAGGGGGUGGGAGGGGAAAAAGGGGCCGG